GACGAACGCUGGCGGCGUGCUUAACACAUGCAAGUCGAACGGAAAGGCCCUGCUUUUGUGGGGUGCUCGAGUGGCGAACGGGUGAGUAACACGUGAGUAACCUGCCCUUGACUUUGGUAUAACUUCAGGAAACUGGGGCUAAUACCGGAUCGGAGCUCCUGCUGCAUGGUGGGGGUUGGAAAGUUUCGGCGGUUGGGGAUGGACUCGCGACUUAUCAGCUUGUUGGUGGGGUAGUGGCUUACCAAGGCUUUGACGGGUAGCCGGCCUGAGAGGGUGACCGGCCACAUUGGGACUGAGAUACGGCCCAGACUCCUACGGGAGGCAGCAGUGGGGAAUAUUGCACAAUGGGCGGAAGCCUGAGGCAGCAACGCCGCGUGCGGGAUGACGGCCUGCGGGUUGUAAACCGCUUUCGCCUGUGACGAAGCGUGAGUGACGGUAAUGGGUAAAGAAGCACCGGCUAACUACGUG
rnacentral:rRNA from 1 species